rnacentral:misc_RNA from 1 species
CGGCAAAAAUGUCGAAGCGAGGGCGCGGAGGAUCUGCAGGUAACAAGUUUAGGAUGUCACUGGGUCUACCAGUGGCGGCGACGGUGAAUUGUGCCGACAACACUGGAGCCAAGAACUUGUACAUCAUCUCAGUGAAGGGUAUCAAGGGUCGUUUGAACAGAUUACCAUCGGCUUGUGUGGGAGACAUGGUGAUGGCCACUGUCAAAAAAGGAAAGCCCGAUCUCAGGAAGAAGGUCCUUCCUGCUGUCAUUGUCAGGCAGCGCAAG